GGGGCCAUGAUUCGGAGGGUUCUGCCGCACGGCUUGGGCCGGGGCCUCUUGACCCGGAAGCCAGGCACGCGCAGAGGAGGCUUUUCUCUGGUGCUUGGCACAAUGCAUGAAAAGGGAGACUGAUGGCAUGUGGACUACUCAGAAAACUGUGGCAACACUGUUGGGUGCAAGGUGACCUUUUGAGAUGGGCUGACAGUGGGGACUGCCAACUCAUGUGUCUGUUUAGCUCAGCUUUUCCUGUACCCAUCCUCCGUCCCCCCAGCCAUGUGGGAAGGAAAUGUUUGGCCCUCUGACCCUCACUACAUCCCACAGACUGGGAUGGAAAGGUGUCUGAGAUUAAGAAGAAGAUCAAGUCGAUCCUGCCUGGAAGGUCCUGUGAUCUACUGCAAGACACCAGCCACCUGCCCCCCGAGCACUCGGAUGUGGUGAUCGUGGGAGGUGGGGUGCUUGGCUUGUCUGUGGCCUAUUGGCUGAAGAAGCUGGAGAGCAGACGAGGUGCUAUUCGAGUGCUAGUGGUGGAACGGGACCACACGUAUUCACAGGCCUCCACUGGGCUCUCAGUAGGUGGGAUUUGUCAGCAGUUCUCAUUGCCUGAGAACAUCCAGCUCUCCCUCUUUUCAGCCAGCUUUCUACGGAAUAUCAAUGAGUACCUGGCCGUAGUCGAUGCCCCUCCCUUGGACCUCCGGUUCAGCCCCUCAGGCUACCUCUUGCUGGCUUCAGAAAAGGAUGCUGCAGCCAUGGAGAGCAACGUGAAAGUGCAGAGGCAGGUGGGAGCCAAAAUUUCUCUGAUGUCUCCUGAUCAGCUUCGGAACAAGUUUCCCUGGAUAAACACAGAGGGAGUGGCUUUGGCAUCUUACGGGAUGGAGGACGAAGGUUGGUUUGACCCCUGGUGUCUGCUCCAGGGCCUUCGGCGAAAGGUCCAGUCCUUGGGAGUCCUUUUCUGCCAGGGAGAGGUGACACGUUUUGUCUCUUCAUCUCAACGCAUGUUGACCACAGAUGACAAAGCGGUGGUCUUGAAAAGGAUCCAUAAAGUC
rnacentral:sRNA from 1 species